rnacentral:rRNA from 1 species
UACGAAGGGGGCUAGCGUUGCUCGGAAUCACUGGGCGUGAAGGGUGCGUAGGCGGGUCUUUUAAGUCAGGGGUGAAAUCCUGGAGCUCAACUCCAGAACUGCCUUUGAUACUGAAGAUCUUGAGUUCGGGAGAGGUGAGUGGAACUGCGAGUGUAGAGGUGAAAUUCGUAGAUAUUCGCAAGAACACCAGUGGCGAAGGCGGACUCACUGGCCCGAUACU